rnacentral:rRNA from 1 species
UACGUAGGGUGCGGAGCGUUGUCCGGAAUUAUUGGGCGUAAAGGGCUCGUAGGCGGUUUGUCGCGUCGGGAGUGAAAUCCACUGGCUUAACUGGUGGCUUGCUUUCGAUACGGGCAGACUGGAGGUAUGCAGGGGAGAACGGAAUUCCUGGUGUAGCGGUGAAAUGCGCAGAUAUCAGGAGGAACACCGGUGGCGAAGGCGGUUCUCUGGGCAUGUCCUGACGCUGAGGAGCGAAAGUGUGGGGAGCGAACAGG